rnacentral:misc_RNA from 1 species
CUGUUAACUUUUUAUAAACACCAGAGUUUUUAAACUCUGUGUUUGCAGACAAAAACACCCUUUAAAAUAGCUUUUGAGUGUCUGAAUUUAACCUAGUUAAUACAAAAA